AACGCACAUUGCGCCCCCCGGAUUUAUCUGAGGGGCAUGCCUGUUCGAGCGUCAUUACGACCUUCAAGCUCUGCUUGGUAUUGGGCGCCCGUCUCCCGGCCUUCGUGCUGGAGACGCGCCUCGAAUUCGUCGGCGGUCGUCUGUUUGUGGCACCGAGCGUAGUAGAAAUUCUCGCUCCUGGCGUCCACCUCACGGCCCGCCGUUGACCCCUUUAUUUUUGACGUUGACCUCGGAUCAGGUAGGGAUACCCGCUGAACUUAA
rnacentral:misc_RNA from 1 species